rnacentral:lncRNA from 1 species
GAACGGUGUCCGAUCCGCACGGCGGCGUCCUGGGGGGUCCACUGUGAGGACGGAGCUUCCUCUCCUCAGGACCCACCCAGGAGGGGCCGGGGCUUGGGACACCUGGGGCCGCGUCCGGUGUGAGGACUAGGAGACUUGCUGCAGCUCCGGGACACCUGGGGCCGCCGAGGCAAAGGGGUAAAUCUUUUCAAGACACUAAAACAGGUGACUCAGCCCUGUGAGCUCUGUGCCUGACAUGACCCAAACGGCCAGCAAUUUUCUCCUGCAGUUAAACCUGUCCAAAAUUGAGGAACCUAUCCAGUUUCAGCUCAGCUAGGAAUUUAGUCUUUCUAAAGACGUGGGAGGAAGUUCUC